CAGCAGCCGCGGGAAUACGUAGGGUGCAAGCGUUAAUCGGAAUUACUAGGCGUAAAGCGUGCGCAGGCGGUUCGCUAAGACAGAUGUGAAAUCCCCGGGCUUAACCUGGGAACUGCAUUUGUGACUGGCGGGCUAGAGUAUGACAGAGGGGGGUAGAAUUCCACGUGUAGCAGUGAAAUGCGUGGAGAUGUGGAGGAAUACCGAUGGCGAAGGCAGCCCCCUGGGCCAAUACUGACGCUCAUGCACGAAAGCGUGGGGAGCAAACAGGAUUAGAUACCCGCGUAGUCCCUGUCUCUUAUAC
rnacentral:rRNA from 1 species